rnacentral:rRNA from 1 species
GUUGUAUGGUUAAGUGACUAAGCGUACACGGUGGAUGCCUUGGCAGUCAGAGGCGAUGAAAGACGUAGUAACUUGCGAUAAGCCCAGAUUAGGUAGUAACAACCAUUUGAGUCUGGGAUUUCUGAAUGGGGAAACCCACGUGCAUAAGCACGUAUCGUUAUGUGAAUACAUAGCAUAACGAGGCGAACCGGGGGAACUGAAACAUCUAAGUACCCCGAGGAAAAGAAAUCAACCGAGAUUCCGAAAGUAGCGGCGAGCGAAAUUGGACUAGCCCUUAAGCUUUUUAUGCGUCAGGUGAAACUUCUGGAAAGUUGUGCGAUACAGGGUGAUAGCCCCGUAACCGGCAACGCAUUUAAAGUGAAAUCGAGUAGGGCGGGACACGUGAUAUCCUGUCUGAAUAUGGGGGGACCAUCCUCCAAGGCUAAAUACUACUGACUGACCGAUAGUGAACCAGUACCGUGAGGGAAAGGCGAAAAGAACCCCUGUGAGGGGAGUGAAAUAGAACCUGAAACCGUGUACGUACAAGCAGUAGGAGCCCACUUGUUGGGUGACUGCGUACCUUUUGUAUAAUGGGUCAGCGACUUAUAUUCAGUGGCAAGGUUAACCAUCUAGGGGAGCCGUAGGGAAACCGAGUCUUAACUGGGCGCUCAGUCUCUGGAUAUAGACCCGAAACCAGGUGAUCUAGCCAUGGGCAGGUUGAAGGUUGAGUAACAUCAACUGGAGGACCGAACCGACUAAUGUUGAAAAAUUAGCGGAUGACUUGUGGCUAGGGGUGAAAGGCCAAUCAAACCUGGAGAUAGCUGGUUCUCCCCGAAAGCUAUUUAGGUAGCGCCUCGGACGAAUACUACUGGGGGUAGAGCACUGUUAAGGCUAGGGGGUCAUCCCGACUUACCAACCCUUUGCAAACUCCGAAUACCAGUAAGUACUAUCCGGGAGACACACGGCGGGUGCUAACGUCCGUCGUGGAGAGGGAAACAACCCAGACCGCCAGCUAAGGUCCCAAAUUACUACUAAGUGGGAAACGAUGUGGGAAGGCUCAGACAGCCAGGAUGUUGGCUUAGAAGCAGCCAUCAUUUAAAGAAAGCGUAAUAGCUCACUGGUCGAGUCGGCCUGCGCGGAAGAUGUAACGGGGCUAAGUAGUAAACCGAAGCUGCGGCAAUGCACUUUUGUGCAUUGGGUAGGGGAGCGUUCUGUAAGCCGUUGAAGGUGUGUUGUAAAGCAUGCUGGAGGUAUCAGAAGUGCGAAUGCUGACAUGAGUAACGAUAAAGGGGGUGAAAAACCCCCUCGCCGGAAGACCAAGGGUUUCUGUCCAACGUUAAUCGGGGCAGGGUAAGUCGACCCCUAAGGCGAGGCCGAAAGGCGUAGUCGAUGGGAAACGGGUUAAUAUUCCCGUACUUCUUACAAUUGCGAUGGGGGGACGGAGAAGGCUAGGUGGGCCUGGCGACGGUUGUCCAGGUUCAAGUGCGUAGGCUGAAGAGUUAGGUAAAUCCGGCUCUUCUUAAGGCUGAGACACGACGUCGAGCUACUACGGUAGUGAAGUCAUUGAUGCCAUGCUUCCAGGAAAAGCCUCUAAGCUUCAGAUUGUAAGGAAUCGUACCCCAAACCGACACAGGUGGUCGGGUAGAGAAUACCAAGGCGCUUGAGAGAACUCGGGUGAAGGAACUAGGCAAAAUGGUACCGUAACUUCGGGAGAAGGUACGCUCUCGACGGUGAAGUCCCUCGCGGAUGGAGCUAUUGAGAGUCGCAGAUACCAGGUGGCUGCAACUGUUUAUUAAAAACACAGCACUGUGCAAAAUCGUAAGAUGACGUAUACGGUGUGACGCCUGCCCGGUGCCGGAAGGUUAAUUGAUGGGGUUAGAUUUUCUUUCUUUAUAGAGAGGGGUCGAAGCUCUUGAUCGAAGCCCCGGUAAACGGCGGCCGUAACUAUAACGGUCCUAAGGUAGCGAAAUUCCUUGUCGGGUAAGUUCCGACCUGCACGAAUGGCGUAAUGAUGGCCACGCUGUCUCCACCCGAGACUCAGUGAAAUUGAAAUCGCUGUGAAGAUGCAGUGUACCCGCGGCUAGACGGAAAGACCCCGUGAACCUUUACUACAGCUUGGCACUGAACAUUGACCCUACAUGUGUAGGAUAGGUGGGAGGCUUUGAAACCAGCACGCCAGUGUUGGUGGAGCCGUCCUUGAAAUACCACCCUUGUAGUGUUGAUGUUCUAACGUCGACCCCUCAUCGGGGUUGCGGACAGUGCCUGGUGGGUAGUUUGACUGGGGCGGUCUCCUCCCAAAGCGUAACGGAGGAGCACGAAGGUGGGCUAAUCACGGUUGGACAUCGUGAGGUUAGUGUAAUGGCAUAAGCCCGCUUGACUGCGAGAAUGACAAUUCGAGCAGGUGCGAAAGCAGGUCAUAGUGAUCCGGUGGUUCUGUAUGGAAGGGCCAUCGCUCAACGGAUAAAAGGUACUCCGGGGAUAACAGGCUGAUACCGCCCAAGAGUUCAUAUCGACGGCGGUGUUUGGCACCUCGAUGUCGGCUCAUCACAUCCUGGGGCUGAAGUCGGUCCCAAGGGUAUGGCUGUUCGCCAUUUAAAGUGGUACGCGAGCUGGGUUUAGAACGUCGUGAGACAGUUCGGUCCCUAUCUGCCGUGGGCGUUGGAGAAUUGAAAGGGGCUGCUCCUAGUACGAGAGGACCGGAGUGGACGAACCUCUGGUGUUCGGGUUGUGUCGCCAGACGCAUUGCCCGGUAGCUAAGUUCGGGAUCGAUAACCGCUGAAAGCAUCUAAGCGGGAAGCGAGCCUUGAGAUGAGUUCUCCCUGAUACAUUAAGUAUCCUAAAGGGUUGUCGGAGACUACGACGUUGAUAGGUCAGGUGUGUAAGCGUUGUGAGGCGUUGAGCUAACUGAUACUAAUUGCCCGUGAGGCUUAACCAUACAACACCCAAAGGGUUUUG